UACGUAGGGUGCGAGCGUUAAUCGGAAUUACUGGGCGUAAAGCGUGCGCAGGCGGUCUUGCACGACAGAUGUGAAAGCCCCGGGCUUAACCUGGGAACUGCAUUUGUGACUGCAAGGCUGGAGUGCGGCAGAGGGGGAUGGAAUUCCGCGUGUAGCAGUGAAAUGCGUAGAUAUGCGGAGGAACACCGAUGGCGAAGGCAAUCCCCUGGGCCUGCACUGACGCUCAUGCACGAAAGCGUGGGGAGCAAACAGG
rnacentral:rRNA from 1 species